rnacentral:rRNA from 1 species
UACGAAGGGGCUAGCGUUGCUCGGAAUCACUGGGCGUAAAGCGUAUGUAGGCGGAUCGUUAAGUCGGGGGUGAAAUCCCGAGGCUCAACCUCGGUAACUGCCUUCGAUACUGGCGAUCUUCGAGUCCGGGAGAGGUGAGUGGAACUCCGAGUGUAGAGGUGAAAUUCGUAGAUAUUCGGAAGAACACCAGUGGCGAAGGCGGCU